AACCUGCGGAGGGAUCAUUACUGAGUGAGGGCUAACGCCCGACCUCCCACCCUUUGUGAACACCCUCUGUUGCUUCGGGGGCGACCCUGCCGGCGCUCGCGCGCCGGGCGCCCCCGAAGGUCCUCUUAACACUGCAUUCAUGCGUCGGAGUUUUAAACAAAUAAAACAAAACUUUCAACAACGGAUCUCUUGGUUCUGGCAUCGAUGAAGAACGCAGCGAAAUGCGAUAAGUAAUGUGAAUUGCAGAAUUCAGUGAAUCAUCGAAUCUUUGAACGCACAUUGCGCCCUUUGGUAUUCCGAAGGGCAUGCCUGUUCGAGCGUCAUUUCACCACUCGAGCCUCGCUUGGUAUUGGGCGUCGCGAUGCCGCGCGCCUUAAAGUCUCUGGCUGAGCUGCCUGUCUCCAAGCGUUGUGGAAUUCAACUAUUCGCUUCAGAGUACAGGCGGCCGCGGCCGUUAAAUCUUUCAUUAGGUUGACCUCGGAUCAUGUAGGGAUA
rnacentral:rRNA from 1 species